GUGGGGAAUCUUCCGCAAUGGACGAAAGUCUGACGGAGCAACGCCGCGUGAGUGAUGAAGGUCUUCGGAUUGUAAAGCUCUGUUAAUCGGGACGAAAGAGCCUAGUGUGAAUAAUGCUAGGAAGUGACGGUACCGGAAUAGAAAGCCACGGCUAACUACGUGCCAGCAGCCGCGGUAAUACGGAGGUGGCAAGCGUUGUCCGGAAUUAUUGGGCGUAAAGCGCGCGCAGGCGGAUCUGCCAGUCUGUCUUAAAAGUUCGGGGCUUAACCCCGUGAUGGGAUGGAAACUACAGAUCUAGAGUAUCGGAGAGGAAAGUGGAAUUCCUAGUGUAGCGGUGAAAUGCGUAGAUAUUAGGAAGAACACCAGUGGCGAAGGCGACUUUCUGGACGAAAACUGACGCUGAGGCGCGAAAGCCAGGGGAGCGAACGGGAUUAGAAACCCGAGUAGUCC
rnacentral:rRNA from 1 species